rnacentral:rRNA from 1 species
GAAGUGCCUCGCAAGAGGAAUUCGGAGACAGGUGCUGCAUGGCUGUCGUCAGCUCGUGUCGUGAGAUGUUGGGUUAAGUCCCGCAACGAGCGCAACCCUUGUCUUUAGUUGCCAUCAUUAAGUUGGGCACUCUAAAGAGACUGCCGGUGUCAAAACCGGAGGAAGGUGGGGAUGACGUCAAGUCCUCAUGGCCUUUAUGACCAGGGCUACACACGUACUACAAUGGCAGGUACAAAGGGCAGCCACUUAGCGAUAAGGCGCGAAUCCCGUAAAGCCUGUCUCAGUCCGGAUUGGAGUCUGCAACUCGACUCCAUGAAGUUGGAAUCGCUAGUAAUCGCAGAUCAGCACGCUGCGGUGAAUACGUUCCCGGGCCUU